GUGCUCGCUUCGGCAGCACGUAUACUAAAAUUGGAACGAUACAGAGAAGAUUAGCACGGCCCCUUAAAAACCAAAAAAAAAGGCAACAAAGUAUGU
rnacentral:snRNA from 1 species